GAAAAAAUUGAUUUCGCGUAAUUCAUUUCCACUCUCGCGUACUCCUUCGUCGAACACUGCUCCGUCGUCGCCGCUUCGAGGUAACCCAAUAGAGAUCUUAACUAUGGGGGAAGGGAAAUAACAACUGGACUUAUAUUUUUAAUCGCAAGAAGGGUUAAUCUAGCUUAGAGGACAUCAUAGCACCAUUCACGGUAUGGUUUGUAUGCCAUUUCUCGGGCGCCUGGUGAACAUUGUAUCUGACACUAGAGGGGAGCAUUUGUGGAGCUCUAUAGAGAACUUGGAUUGCUCAAAACCUAUAGCAUCCAGAAGCGCACUGUCAGGCUGCGCCCCACCGUCCGGUUGAGAAAUUCGGCUCUCUUACCACUUGUCAGUUUUCCUCCUAGGAUCGACGAUGAUCAGUAACCUUUGAUCCGAGCAGCAGCCUUUGUAAUAAGCAUCACGGAUAGAGAUCGCUAUGUACAAGGUGAUUACCCAUUCACAUAUGGCUAUUGCAAGCACAACUCCCAGAAAAUGGUGACCACAAUUUCUCUUUUUAGCAGUUGUAUGGGUUUGCUUGCAUUCAACUAUAAUUUGUGUUGUAAUAAUUGCUUGACUGACGAUCAAAAUACUACUAGAAAGUUUGUGGCUUUGUUGGAAUAGUUAGAAUUAGUUCUGCAAACCUAAUCCAGUGUGUUUUAGAACUACUUAUUGUUUUAGUGUAUAGCAAAGCGUGAUCUGGAUUGUUUAUUGUUUUUAUAUAUAUAUAUAUUUUUUUCAUUCAUCUAUUGUGUUAUAUGGUUUUUCUUUCUUCUCGUCUUAC